rnacentral:rRNA from 1 species
GACGAACGCUGGCGGCGUGCCUAACACAUGCAAGUCGAGCGAUGAAGUUUCCUUCGGGAAACGGAUUAGCGGCGGACGGGUGAGUAACACGUGGGUAACCUGCCUUAUAGUGGGGGAUAGCCUUUCGAAAGGAAGAUUAAUACCGCAUAAGAUUGUAGUAUCGCAUGAUAUAGCAAUUAAAGGAGCAAUCCGCUAUAAGAUGGACCCGCGUCGCAUUAGCUAGUUGGUGAGGUAAUGGCUCACCAAGGCGACGAUGCGUAGCCGACCUGAGAGGGUGAUCGGCCACAUUGGGACUGAGACACGGCCCAGACUCCUACGGGAGGCAGCAGUGGGGAAUAUUGCACAAUGGGCGAAAGCCUGAUGCAGCAACGCCGCGUGAGUGAUGACGGCCUUCGGGUUGUAAAACUCUGU